UACGAAGGGGGCUAGCGUUGCUCGGAAUUACUGGGCGUAAAGGGCGCGUAGGCGGACAGUUUAGUCAGAGGUGAAAGCCCAGGGCUCAACCUUGGAAUUGCCUUUGAUACUGGCUGUCUUGAGUUCGGGAGAGGUGAGUGGAAUGCCGAGUGUAGAGGUGAAAUUCGUAGAUAUUCGGCGGAACACCAGUGGCGAAGGCGACUCACUGGCCCGAUACUGACGCUGAGGCGCGAAAGCGUGGGGAUCAAACAGG
rnacentral:rRNA from 1 species